GGAGGAAAGUAGGGGAUCGCAAGACCUUACGCUUUUGGAGCGGCCGAUGUCUGAUUAGCUUGUUGGUGAGGUAAAGGCUUACCAAGGCUUCGAUCAGUAGCUGGUCUGAGAGGACGACCAGCCACACUGGGACUGAGACACGGCCCAGACUCCUACGGGAGGCAGCAGUGGGGAAUUUUGGACAAUGGGGGAAACCCUGAUCCAGCCAUGCCGCGUGAGUGAAGAAGGCCUUCGGGUUGUAAAGCUCUUUCAGCCGGAACGAAACGGUUACGAUUAACACCUGUAACUACUGACGGUACCGGAAGAAGAAGCACCGGCUAACUACGUGCCAGCAGCCGCGGUAAUACGUAGGGUGCGAGCGUUAAUCGGAAUUACUGGGCGUAAAGCGUGCGCAGGUGGUUUUGUAAGUCAGAUGUGAAAUCCCCGGGCUUAACCUGGGAACUGCGUUUGAAACUACAAAGCUAGA
rnacentral:rRNA from 1 species